rnacentral:rRNA from 1 species
GGAUUCCUCAGUAACGGCGAGUGAACGGGGAUUAGCCCAUCACCGAAGCCCGUGUGCUUUUGCAUACAGGGCAAUGUGGUGUUAAGGCUUGCACCUGGGACUGUGAACUCACCAUAAGUCCAGCUCCGAUUCUGGCUUAUUGUGGUCCAAAGCGGGUGAAAGACCCGUGAUGGUGGGUUAUGGAAUAUAUCGCAGUCCUCAGAUGUGCGUGCCUUCGAGUCGGAUUGCUUGAGAAUGCAGUCCAAAGUGGGUGGUAAACUCCAUCCAAGGCUAAAUACUGGCAUGAGUCCGAUAGUAGACAAGUACCGUGAGGGAAAGUUGAAAAGUACUCUGAAGAGAGAGUAAAUAGUACGUGAAGCCGAUUGCAGGGAAGCUGGUGGAGUCAAGCUUCAUGCUUGAGGAAUUUUUAUCAUGAGUUAUUGUGGUUUUGCAUGUGAUCAGUCAGCUUGGUAUAAGUUGGGCACAUUCGUGUGUAUCAAGUCAUUCUGGGUAGUGUGUUUGAAGCUGAUCAUAAUGCGUUGCUCAUGGUAAUCUAUUCUUCGUGGCAUAAAUCACAGUCGAUACUGUUGCGCCCGAUGAUUGUCUAACUGUGCUUCGGUAGGCCUCGUGUUUACCGGGUGCAGAAUGGCAGGUACGGCCAUUAGUCUCCGGAUUAAUGUGUCUUCGAAGAUGAAGCCGACUUUCAUUUGUGGUGUCUUCAGUAUCGUGAUUGCUUGGUGUCUCGUCUUCGGACCUGGCAUUGGUUAGAACUGUGAUUCUGAGGUAGA